AGAUCCCCGAGAUAUCAUAAUCAAGUUAGUCCGGUUUUUUUUUUCUUUUCUUUUCAUUUUGAAACAUAAUCUGCCUUUUUUUUUAUUAUCAUUAUUAUUUUAUUUUAUUUGUUCAUUUAGCACUUAUGUACUGAUAUUAUUGCAGAAUUCUGGGUAUAGGAGACUGCCUCCUAUUCAGAAGAGAGACAUCGUAUACUGAAGAACAGAGAGAUGAUCUGAAAAGUUCAUGCUGAAGAACAGAUUCAAUCCGGGGCCUGGAUUCGAGGAUCCAAAUUUGACCGAUCUGCUGUUUCAGAACUUCAAAAAGGUGGUCGAGCGCAGGUACAACAAAUGUAGUUGAUUCUCUUUAAUCUAUAUUAAAAAAAAUUGAUAAAGGGAUGUAUAGAAUUGAGCUCAUACAAAUAAAUCUUUGAUGUCUACGUGCGUUGCAUUGAAAACCAAACAUGUAAACCGUCUUUUGUUUUGUCAUUUCCCAAGUUUGUAGAUUGUAGUUCGCAAUUGGUAACAACCUUCGAUUUUUUUAUGUGAAAUUGUCAUCUAACUUUGUGGA